GAUGAACGCUAGCGGGAGGCCUAACACAUGCAAGCCGAGCGGUAGAGAUUCUUCGGAAUCUUGAGAGCGGCGUACGGGUGCGGAACACGUGUGCAACCUGCCUUUAUCAGGGGGAUAGCCUUUCGAAAGGAAGAUUAAUACCCCAUAAUAUAUUUGAUGGCAUCAUUAGAUAUUGAAAGCUUUGGCGGAUAGAGAUGGGCACGCGCAAGAUUAGAUAGUUGGUGAGGUAACGGCUCACCAAGUCGAUGAUCUUUAGGGGGCCUGAGAGGGUGAUCCCCCACACUGGUACUGAGACACGGACCAGACUCCUACGGGAGGCAGCAGUGAGGAAUAUUGGACAAUGGGUUAGCGCCUGAUCCAGCCAUCCCGCGUGAAGGACGACGGCCCUAUGGGUUGUAAACUUCUUUUGGACAGGGAUAAACCUACUCUCGUGAGAGUAGCUGAAGGUACUGUACGAAUAAGCACCGGCUAACUCCGUG
rnacentral:rRNA from 1 species